AACCAUCCUCAAUCUCAAUUUCAUAAUCAAAAACAUUUUUUACAAACCAUUUAUGUAUACUUGGAGUAUACUGGAUUUUUGGCAAAUCCACAGCCAUCAACGGAUUUGAUAAGUCUUUACUGUCUACCGUUUGAGACAGACUAGCCGUACCAUGAACGGGUACGAUCGCUUUAGGUGUAGAAGACAUACCUGGCGCCUCUGUGGAAGAGGACGCUAUACUUUGUAACGCCUUUAACACUUCAGGGGAUUGACUUAACUGUUCAAUCCAUUUUUGAAGAGCGGGA
rnacentral:lncRNA from 1 species